CAGUCGCCGCGGUAAUACAGAGGGUGCGAGCGUUAAUCGGAUUUACUGGGCGUAAAGCGUGCGUAGGCGGCUAAUUGAGUCGGAUGUGAAAUCCCCGAGCUUAACUUGGGAAUUGCAUUCGAUACUGGUUAGCUAGAGUGUGGGAGAGGAUGGUAGAAUUCCAGGUGUAGCGGUGAAAUGCGUAGAGAUCUGGAGGAAUACCGAUGGCGAAGGCAGCCAUCUGGCCUAACACUGACGCUGAGGUACGAAAGCAUGGGGAGCAAACAGGAUUAGAUACCCGUGUAGUCCAUGUCUCUUAUAA
rnacentral:rRNA from 1 species